rnacentral:SRP_RNA from 1 species
AGGCAGGUCCGGCGCGGCGGAGCCCUUCGAACCCCGUCAGGUCCGAGAGGAAGCAGCGGUAAGGGGGUGUCUCCGGGUGCCGCCGGGAAGCCGGUCUGAG